rnacentral:rRNA from 1 species
GAUGAACGCUAGCGGCAGGCUUAAUACAUGCAAGUCGAGGGGCAGCACGGGUAGCAAUACCUGGUGGCGACCGGCAAACGGGUGCGGAACACGUACAGAACCUUCCUUUAAGCGGGGGAUAGCCCAUAGAAAUGUGGAUUAAUACCCCAUAGUAAUAUUUGGUGGCAUCAUUAGAUAUUUAAAGAUUUAUCACUUAAAGAUGGCUGUGCGGCUGAUUAGGUAGUUGGUGCGGGUAACGGCCCACCAAGCCAUCGAUCAGUAACUGGUGUGAGAGCACGACCAGUCACACGGGCACUGAGACACGGGCCCGACUCCUACGGGAGGCAGCAGUAAGGAAUAUUGGUCAAUGGACGCAAGUCUGAACCAGCCAUGCCGCGUGAAGGAUAAA